rnacentral:rRNA from 1 species
UACGAAGGGGGCUAGCGUUGUUCGGAAUUACUGGGCGUAAAGCGCGUGUAGGCGGGUCUUUAAGUCAGGGGUGAAAUGCCAAGGCUCAACCUUGGAACUGCCUUUGAUACUGGAGAUCUUGAGUCCGGGAGAGGUGAGUGGAAUUGCGAGUGUAGAGGUGAAAUUCGUAGAUAUUCGCAAGAACACCAGUGGCGAAGGCGGCUCACUGGCCCGGAACUGA